rnacentral:rRNA from 1 species
AACGAACGCUGGCGGCAUGCCUAACACAUGCAAGUCGAACGAGACCUUCGGGUCUAGUUGCGCACGGGUGCGUAACGCGUGGGAACCUGCCCUUAUGUUCGGGAUAACUCCCCGAAAGGGGUGCUAAUACCGGGUAAUUUCUUCUGACCCAGGAUUUAUCGCCUUUGUAUGGGCCGGCGUUGGAUUAGCUAGUUGGCGGGGUAAAAGCCUACCAAGGCGACGAUCCGUAGCUGGGCUGAGAGGAUGAUCAGCCACACUGGAACUGAGACACGGUCCAGACUCCUACGGGAGGCAGCAGUGGGGAAUAUUGGACAAGGGGCGCAAGCCUGAUCCAGCCAUACCGCGUGGGUGAAGAAGGCCUUCGGGUUGUAAAGCCCUUUUGUUGGGAAAGAAAAGCAGCAGGUUAAUACCCCGCUGUUCUGACGGUACCCAAAGAAUAAGCACCGGCUAACUUCGUG